rnacentral:rRNA from 1 species
CAGUAGCCGCGGGAAUACGAACCAUGCAAACGUUACUCGGAAUCACUGGGCUUAAAGCGCACGUAGGCGGCGACAUAAGUUAGAGGUGAAAUCCCAUCGGCUCAACCGUGGAACUGCCUCUAAUACUGUGUUGCUUGAGGGAGAACGGGGCAUUCGGAACUUCCGGUGGAGCGGUGAAAUGUGUUGAUAUCGGAAGGAACGCCGGUGGCGAAAGCGGAAUGCUGGGUCUCUUCUGACGCUGAGGUGCGAAAGCUAGGGUAGCGAACGGGAUUAGAUACCCGCGUAGUCCCUGUCUCUUAUA